CCGGAUAGCACUUUAAGCUCCCGUUUUAGUAUAAUAACUAUUUUAAGGGAUUAUAACUUGGACUUCAAAUAUGUCGACAUGGAUAAACAGCCUCAAGUCAACUUUGUUAUGCAGGUUGUUGAGAGCAAUAUGAUGAGGGAAGGCAGGAAAGAGUACCAGUCUUAUAGUCUGUUGCAGUAUGUACUCGUUGCAAAAUGGUGUUCGAGCGUUGGCGAAUAAGGAUUUGCUUGCAGCGUUGAAGAACGA